rnacentral:lncRNA from 1 species
ACGAACAGAUGCUUCUCUCCAUGCAUAAUCUCACUUCUCUACUGAUCUCCAACACAACAAAAUUCCCUGCUCUGCUGGUUGUAAAUCAAAUCGUCCUGAAGAAACGGGCCCAAGGGUGCUGCUACGAGAGACAUGGCGAGGGCGACCGUGGAGAUUGUGGAUAUUGUGGAGACGGCGGCCAGCGAGGUUGGCCAUGGUCGCCAACGGUGCUACGAACGACCGUGCUACAACCGCAAGCUGACGAGCUACCACCGGCUGAUGUGGAUGCUACAACCAUUGCGGGGCGAAUUGCAAUCGACAACAGAGUUGUUACUACCUAACGGGCAGGCGCCACGGCAGAGCACACAUGAUGCUACAACUGUUGAGGUAGGAGCUGCAACUGUGCCCCAUUUUUGCUUGAACCGGUGACCGUAGCGAGGUGCAGUGUGACCACAAUGAACUACAGGGCGACCACGGUAAGUUUGUCUAGAGAGGACGAGGG